AUACAGCUGAUGAGUUCAAAAUAGGACGAAACACUCGUCUUGGAU
rnacentral:hammerhead_ribozyme from 1 species